AGCUUCGUGGUGUAGUUGGUUACCACUUUAGUUCAACACGCUGAAUGUCUCCAGUUUGAACCUGGACGAAGUCA